rnacentral:rRNA from 1 species
AGUGAACGCUGGCGGUAGGCCUAACACAUGCUAGUCGAACGGCAGCACAGUAAGAGCUUGCUCUUACGGGUGGCGAGUGGCGGACGGGUGAGGAAUACAUCGGAAUCUACUUUUUCGUGGGGGAUAACGUAGGGAAACUUACGCUAAUACCGCAUACGACCUACGGGUGAAAGCAGGGGAUCUUCGGACCUUGCGCGAUUGAAUGAGCCGAUGUCGGAUUAGCAAGUUGGCGGGGUAAAGGCCCACCAAGGCGACGAUCCGUAGCUGGUCUGAGAGGAUGAUAAGCCACACUGGAACUGAGACACGGUCCAGAAUCCUACGAGAGGCAGCAGUGGAGAAUAUUGGACAAUGGGCGCAAGCCUGAUCCAGCCAUACCGCGUGGGUGAAGAAGGCCUUCGGGUUGUAAAGCCCUUUUGUUGGGAAAGAAAAGCAGCAGGUUAAUACCCCGCUGUUCUGACGGUACCCAAAGAAUAAGCACCGGCUAACUUCGUG